rnacentral:rRNA from 1 species
UGCGGUGGUCAUGGCCCAGGUGAGACGCCCGGUCCCUUUCCGAACCCGGAAGCUAAGGCCUGGCUGCGGCGAUGGUACUGCAC